GAGGUGGACUAGCAGGGAAAGAAUUUUAAAAAGUGAUCAGCAUAAGAUCUUGUCACUUCUCUAAUAUUACUUGCAUCCUUUUCAGCACUUUUUACUGUUUUCCCCCAACUGGAUAUAUUUUUGAACUGCUGACACUUUAUUUUGGAUUUUGUUUAGGGAACUACCCAGUUUGAUCUUCAAAACAGAACUUGCUUUUUAAUGUGGAUGAGACAAGCGUUUGCCAAGGAAAUGACAGUUGCUUCAAGCAAUGUAACACUGUGUUGUGGGAGCUGAGAGAUGGGAAAACAGGAUAACAUGAGACAUGAGGAAGACAGUUUCAAAUGUUGGAGGGGAAGAGCAGGAUCUUUCAAACACUUCCUGAAACUUGUGCCUCCUCCAAGAUGUCUGCCAUAGUAGUGCUUCUUCUGAUAUCUAUAUAGAGGUGAGAAAAUCCCUGUUUAAAGCUGCAGCCAGCAAGGGAAACAACUCGCCUACCUCGCCAGAACCAGCAACAGCAGGAGACUGGAAGCUGCUGAGGGAGCCUCGUUUUAUUAGCAGCUAUUCAGUCUGGACUGGACUGCCCUGCAGCUGUGCCGGUAUUUCUGGCCCACUGCUGAGACUGGAAGGUGGGCGGGACAGACUCGGAGGGAAACCCCAAUGCGGGAGCAUCAGGAUGCUAGAGCAGAGAUUCUGGGAGCUGGGGAGAGGGCUGCCUUUCAGCCCGGGGGAGAGCCAGGAGCUCUUUCAAUAAAGUUCUGUUAGCAUUUUCUUUUACUUUUGUUUUCACUGAAGUGAAGCCUAUUAGUCUUAGUAUGCUAGGGGUAUGGACAAAUGUAAAUUUUAGCUGCUUUAAAAGUGAGGGAAGAACUUGCUCAGGAGCUGUUACGUUAUGUGACCUUUGCAUGAUCCUGGAGCAGUUGUGAGCAAAAUACAACCCACAGGCUGGAUCCAGUCCACCAGA
rnacentral:lncRNA from 1 species